AUACGGGUGGCUCAGACGGUAAAGCAUCUGCCUGCAAUGCGGGAGACCCAGGUUCGAUUCCUGGUCAGGAAG
rnacentral:tRNA from 1 species